CUCCCGAGUGCUGGGAUUAAAGGCGUGCACCACCACUGCCUGGCAUCCUUGUUGACUUUAAAAGAGUGGUAUACAGUCUAUGCUGUAAUUAUUUUUAUCUCUAGUGCAAAACUAAGGCUUUCUUUUCAACUUUGAAUUUCAAAAAUUCAAACUUAAUUCAUCCCAAGAUUCUUCAUCUCACUUUCCCAUCAAAUCCCAGAUCAAAAUUCUAUUUCUAUAGUGGUAAUUCCAGUAUCCAAGUGAUGAGUAUGAUAACAGAAACAUCUCUAGAGUGUAGGUCUCUAGAGCACAGAACAUAAUUCAUAAGUAUUCAGCCCAUCAGAAUUCCAAAGUUGUAGAUUUUCAGAAUGCACCUACUGUGUUUUAACUACUUUGUAACUUGCAUUGUACGUUACAGGAUUCCUCUAUUUCAUAAGAAAAUUUCUGAAGUGUCAGUCUUCCUACAACUAUGGUAAAAAAAAAUACUGCUUACAUGUUACACUGUAAACAACAGAAAGAUGUGGCACAACACUAGAUGCCCAUCCUUAGAGAAAUUAGAAAGAAUUAGUAUUAUAAAAAGGCUUUGUAUUUGAGGAGGACCUGAAACUGCACCUUUUGGGUGCAUAAAUCUGGUUGUGAUAAUACAGAGAGAAGGAAACCUGUCUCAAAAACACAAACCUAAAGACUAGUAUGUCUCAAAUUCAUAUGGAGCUAUUAGUCACAUUGAUGUGACUAAUGUAAUAUUAGUGUAGCUUUUGCUCUGGUUUCUAUUUGAAUAUGAGCAUGAAAAAUAUGAGAAAGGAGAUGGACAAGAUAAAUAUGUCUCAGAAUUAAAUGAAGUAUUGAUGUUUGGAGCAUAAACUGGAAAUUGAGUACUGUGCUGAGAAAUAGAGGAAACUGAAUAUAGUAUUGAGAGUUACAAGAUAAACUGGGAAGUCAACCUUGGGCUUUGAGAUAUAGGACAAAAUCUUGCAGAAGAGGAGGCCUAGGACAAGAAUGAACAUCAGGAAAAGAAGGAAUCUACCAAAAUGCUCUUAAUGGAUUCUUGUGAAAUCUAAAACAUAGUAUGCUUAUAUGCCUAGGUUGUAGGAUGCUUGCAAUCUGUGGUUCAUGAGGAAGAAAAGGUUGCCUGGACAAAUUUCCAUUAUUGAUAUGUUUUAUUUAUGUUUUGUUGCAGAUUAAAAUCCCAGAGGGCCUACUAAUUCUGCAAGUAUGACAAAUGAGAUGCAAAUCUAGUUCUGCUUCAGCAAACUUGAUUUCUCUGUAUUAAGACAGGGGAUUUCUUAAAGAAAGGAUCUAUGACCUCAAAAGUUCAAGGAAUAUGAUUUCUGCAAUGUCACUUUUUUGAAAGUUAUGUUUGGAAUUGUACUACAAAUAUCAAGUUUACUACUAUUCAGGCCUCUGCUAUUUUAAAUCUCAUUAAGUGGAGUUUUCUUCUCAACCUAGUGACAAGGUUAGAAUCCCAGAGGGCUACUUAUUCCUCAGGCAGGAGAGGACUUCUGCUGAGGAUGAAAACAACAAGCCUACUGCACAACCCUGAUCUUCCUUUUCAAAGCCAAAGAGAAUAGCUGUUUCCGCAUUGCCUUAGCAGUGGAAACAGUCAUGUGGUGAGAGAGGUUGUUGGAUCAACAUGUUGUCUGGAUCAACAAUGACAACAAAUCUCUGAGGACGGUGAUCAACUCAUACAAAUGGCAACCUGAGGUCCAGAUAGGAUAUCCUCUCAAGAACAAUGAUGUUUCCAGAAUCUAGUCCAAACUCUUCCCCUUUGAAGGCUGACAGAAAACAGUGCAGACUGGAUUUGGUCUCCUCAAUUUGGACGAAAUCACAAUAUUUGGGUGUGCCCAACCUGUCCUAAAAAUUGCUUCAUUCCUUUCCAUCUGGAAAGUACUGUAGUAAAUAUAUGGUGUACAUUGCUUUUAAGUUAUCCAAUCAUGCAAGCCUGAAUGAAAAAAAAAUACCAAAAGAUGUGUAAGCACUGAAACAAUCAUUGAGCAUCUCCUGGCACUUCCAUGGGACUUUCACUUUCCAAAUUGGCAAAAGGACAAGAAAGGUUUACAGGACUCACUUCCACCAGAACAGGACUGUGCCUCUCCUACUCCUUUGUGUCAUUUGACCACAAUGUGAGAUAAUUCACCAUGUUGUGAGAAAAAGUCUUUUUCUAUAUAUUGUCACUGAAUAUACCCUUCUUACUGGAAGCUGUAUUUUUAUGGGUGCAAAUAGUCAUCUUACUGUGAGGCACCAGAUCAAACAGCUUUCAGAUGUUGACCUGCUCACCAAUCACAUCUUACCAUCAUAAUAUCUUCUUGACAAAAUUAUAAUUUUUGAUGAGGGUCCAUAACUUAAGUGCAUUGUGUGUUUGAGGCACAAUGUUAGAAGUGAGGGCUUCAGUUUGUUUACAUUUUGUGUAGGUAUUAGUAAGUUGAGAUCAUGCAAACACAUCAUAGGCCUCAAAGACUGCCACAUGUUACUUCCAAAAAGAAGUGCAUUCAGAAUCAUCAGUCAGGAAAACAAUUACCUGAGAAUAGGAAGAAACAAGCAGGUAAUCAGAGAGUAGAUAACAAGGCAGGCACUCAAAGUUUCCAAAAGAAAACAUUGAAGAACCACUUGUGCUAUGCCAAGAUUAUUUGAAACACUACAAAAGAAAGAUGAAACAAUGACAUACUGAUACAUACAUAUAUGUGUAGCAGGGAUCUUAAAAGUUCUUAUUAAUAAAAUCAA